UACGUAGGUGGCAAGCGUUGUCCGGAAUUAUUGGGCGUAAAGCGCGCGCAGGCGGCCUUUUAAGUCUGAUGUGAAAGCCCCCGGCUUAACCGGGGAGGGUCAUUGGAAACUGGGAGGCUUGAGUGCAGAAGAGGAAAGUGGAAUUCCAAGUGUAGCGGUGAAAUGCGUAGAGAUUUGGAGGAACACCAGUGGCGAAGGCGGC
rnacentral:rRNA from 1 species